rnacentral:misc_RNA from 1 species
AAACUACGUUAAACGGUGUGAAUUGCAGAACACGCAGAACACUGGAACUUUGAACGCACAUGGCAGGUUAGUGUUAUAACUAACCUUUGUCUGUGUGAGGGUUGUAAUCAGAGAUUCAAGGCUAUUUUUUGAAAGGCGGGGAGGUUGCCUGUUAAAUGUGUGACAUGCCCGCUGAUCGCAGUAAAAACACACUUGUGUUGCGCCUCUGGCCAGCGUCGGAGGUAAACAGCAACUAGUGUGAAGGGUAGAGGAGUUUGCUGGAGUUGAUACGCUGUUGCGAGCGUGAUCAGAAACAGUAGUUCCCUAUCCUGCCUUUAUUUCUCACAACCUCACAUCAGGCAAGAUUACCCGCUUAAUUUAA